GGUUAAGUCCGCUAACGAGCCGCAACCCUCGCUGUGUGUUACAAGUGUCACACGGAACUGCCGGUCAUAAACCGGAGGAAGGUGGGGAUGGACGUCAAGUCAGCAUGGCCUUUACUAUCCUGGGCUACACACACGCUACAAUGGGAAGGGACAAUAGGUUGCGAAACCGCGAGGUGGAGCCAAUCCAGCAAAACUUCCCUCAGUUCAGAUUGCAGGCUGCAACUCGCCUGCAUGAAGUUGGAGUUGCUAGUAAACGCAGGUCAGCCAUACUGCGUUGAAUACGUUCCCGGGGCUU
rnacentral:rRNA from 1 species